GGGUGGCUGAUGGUCUCUUUAUGUGGGGAGAGGAGGAGAGAGGAGAGGGUGGCUGAUGGUCUCUUUAUGUGGGGAGAGGAGAGGAGAGGAGAGGGUGGUUUUUGUGGGGAGAGGAGAGGGUGGCUGAUGGUCUCUUUAUGUGGGGAGAGGAGAGGGUGGCUGAUGGUCUCUUUAUGUGGGGAGAGGAGGAGAGAGGAGAGGGUGGCUGAUGGUCUCUUUAUGUGGGGAGAGGAGAGGGUGGCUGAUGGUCUCUUUAUGUGGGGAGAGGAGAGGGUGGCUGAUGGUCUCUUUAUGUGGGGAGAGGAGAGGGUGGCUGAUGGUCUCUUUAUGUGGGGAGAGAGGAGAGGAGGGUGGCUGAUGGUCUCUUUAUGUGGGGAGAGGAGAGGAGAGGGUGGCUGAUGGUCUCUUUAUGUGGGGAGAGGAGAGGGUGGCUGAUGGUCUUUUUAUGCGGAGGACGGGAGUCUGGAACUAAGAGAAUGUUGCUCAGUAGUCAUUCUCAUAUUCCUGUUCCUGUCCUUCUUGAGUUAGAACCAGACCAGAGGAGACAGACAGAGACACAGAGAAACACGUACCUUCCAUCAGUACAGAUACCAGACCACCAACAUGCUACCAUUCAAAAUACCACAUGGACCCACUAGUGGUUGUGCUAGUCAGUAUCGCUGACUCAGACUGCUGUGUUAUGGCAGCUGCUCAUCAGAGCUCUGAAAGCAGACAUGUACAGGCACAACAUAGUGCUGUAAUCUUUAUUUCUCUUUCUUAAUGUAAGAAAAUGUCAUAAAGAUGUAGAACAGUGAAAUGAGA
rnacentral:lncRNA from 1 species